rnacentral:lncRNA from 1 species
ACAAAGUCUUAACAUCAGUACUGUAAACGCACAAGCAGAGACGAUUGGUUCGUGAGUUGCCAUUUUGAGCGUGUAUUUAUGAGUAAUUCUACUUAAAUUACAUAUUAUUAUUAAAUUUUAAUGGUAUUUCUUUGAGUUAUCACAAUCUUUCAAAAGUGUAGAUGUGAAAUAAUUUGUUAUAGUAUAUGAUAAAGUGUUUGAUUUCAUGUUUGGGGUUAGUACCGGUUACCGAAUAAACCGGUACAUGUCGAAUAGAUAAGUUCACGUCAAAUACGAAAGAUGUCACUACUAAAAAAUCUGGAACAACUUCCGGUCUUCAGAAGGAAACGAAGGGUAACCGAAGCGAUAGAUACGGUCCUAACCGUAGUUUGCCGAAUACAGUCGAGGACGCCCGAUCUUGGUGGAGGCCCGUAGCCAUGUGUUGCGGUCUGCCGUGAGUGCUUUCUGACAAGGGAGGUGCGGUGUCUGCAUUUUUUCUUUACUCGUCACAGCCCGGAAAAUCGGGAUUUUUCGAAUAAAUAGACGAGGUAUGUGUAUUUACGGUACUUUGGCAUAGCAUCAAUAAGAUUCGAAAGUGUCAAAGUGCAAGAAAAAUUCGAUAUUUGGAAAAGAAAGUGUGUAUAUUUCUCGCGCGGCGUCGGCCGAACGAGACGACGAAGGAGUUCUGCUUCGUCUCUCGAUGUAUACACGAGUAGACUACAGUCGGUAUGUGUGUUUGUUUGUGAGAGUGCGCGAUCGAAACGAAGAGCACCGAUUCGGAUCAGUUGAAGACCGGUAGACGUUUACAAAUGCAGGAACUGAAACAGAGGCAUCGAGUGGAAACGAAAAAAGAGAGAGUGCGCAUGAUAAUCGUGUAUCCUCGAUAGCUACCAGAUAGAGACGGAUAGGGUGCUGCGUGCAACUUCUCUUUUCUACACGUACAUAUACAAACACAAAUACAAUAUACAUAAUACAUACACGACACGCACUCACGACGCACGCACGCACGCACUUACACACGCACGCACGCACGCACGCACGCACCUACUAUAUUUUUUCAUUCUCGCUCUCGUAGAUGCUCCGAUCUUCUCUUUCCUUUCCCUUUUUCAUCCUACUAUUUCUAUCUUUCUCGAUAGCUCUGACUCUGUGUGUCUUGCGCGUGUAGUAGGGCGAGCACGCGAGCAAACGACAAACGAACGAAUGCGCACGGGCAUGUUCGUUUCUGUGUUAGUAUUAGCGUCCCGUUCGUUGUGUUUUGUGUAUUCUGCUUGUAACGAGUGUCGCCCGGACAUAUAUUGCAAGUAUGGCUGGUUGAUCAAACGGCGAUGUCAGUUUCGUAAUUUCUAACUAUACUAUAUCUUUUUGUCUACAUAUUCAAAACUUGAAGAAGAGGCAGUUAUUGAAUCUAUUCAGGCUUACGAAUGUGGUCUCAUAAAAGGGAAUCGCGUACAAUGUACUUACGUGUUCUCGGACUUUGGGAAAGUGCUACGUAUGUUUGUUCCUUCGUCGCAUGUUCGUGUUUAUCGAGUGUGACGAAAAACUGUAUACGAUCACUAUGUGUAUUUACUUCGAAAGCUUAAGAGAAUUAGAAAAAUAUAAUAGAAUGUAAAAAAAAAAAAGAGGGGGGGGGAGGGAAAAAUCGGAGGAAAUUAGAAACGGAGAGAAACAAAGCAAGGUUGAAACGAGUGAGUGAGAGUGAAGGUGGACGAGCCACACCGGUUAGUUAACGCUACUACCGAAAAAGAAGAACAUGUAGUGUCGCAUGGAUAAUCAAGCUUAAGUAUACACAAUACAAAGUGCAUACAGUGCGAAUAUAUGUGUUUGCAAAAAUGUGUACGGACGCGAGCACUUGUGUAUUUAAACAUAUCGAGAUCUGGUUGAAUGAUAGUUGUUACUAGUGUUCGUUUAUGCGUGGUUAUGUAGGUGCGUGGGAACGAGGUCGUGAGGUGAAUUUACUACGCGUCAUGAGACACUCGACAAUACCGGAAAAUUGGUCAUCUUUCUUGGAAUUGGAUUACCUUCUGGAAUACACCAUCCUCGAUGAAUCCACAUGAAUAAUAACAGGAGCAUCGACGGAAGGAAAAAGAAUCUCGAAUCUGGCAAGAAAGGAUGGAUUUUUGAAACGAUCAACACGCAAACCUAUCCAGCCUUCGAUAAAAGCGCACGAUGAUCGAAAUUUUGGCAAACGAUGGAAGUACGAACACCGUUUUAGCGGCGAGUUGGAAAGAGAAAUCACGUUCGAGAUUCACGUUCCGUAAAAGGAUCAAAGGAAGGAGAGCCUAAUCGAGAGCGAAAUCUGUUAUUGAGCGAGGAAAACAACGUGGAAAUAUAUAAGAGAAGAGCGAUCGUUUAAAGCGAAAUGCGAGAUAAAGGGACGUAAGAGCGCCGGUCGACGACGACGACGACAACGACGAGCAACGGACAAGAAGAGACGAUACGUCGGAUGAGGGCGACAAAUGCACGCUGCCGAGAACCCGUGUUGUUAAAAUAACGAAAAAAAAAAAAAAAAAAAAAAAAAAAAAAAAAAAAAAA